rnacentral:misc_RNA from 1 species
GCUGAAGAACGUAGUGAAAUGCGAUAAGUAAUGUGAAUUGCAGAAUUCAGUGAAUCAUCGAAUCUUUGAACGCACCUUGCGCCUUUUGGUAUUCCGAAAGGCACACCUGUUUGAGCGUCAUGAAUACCUCAAUCUCCAUCUUUUCUUCGGAUUGAUGGGUGACUUGGAUGUUGAGCCCUGCUGGUAUGCUAUAUCAGCUGGCUUUAAACUUAUUAGCCGGCUCUGUACUGGAUCGGUUUGACUCGACGUGAUAAUAUUAUCGUUGAGGAUGCAUGUCUCAUGCAGCCGGAAAGUAUCAAAGCAGCUUCUAGCUUGCCUUUAGUGCACUUUUACAUUUUAGACCUCAGAUCAGGUGGGACUACCCGCUGAACUUAAGCAUAUCAAUAAGCGGAGGA